GGCCCAAAUUUAAAGUAGAGUUAAUUUGAAGGAUCAUCUGACCCUGCUAAACUACUCUACUCUGAGUUCGUGCCC
rnacentral:pre_miRNA from 1 species